rnacentral:lncRNA from 1 species
AUACUUGUUUUAUCACAAAACAUGUGAAUGAGUGAAUGUCGUCUCAUACUGCAGUCAGCAAUAUUGCAGCCAUAUGAAGGCAGCCUGUAAACCAGUAAUUGAUACACACACCAUCCUAGUACAUAAAACAUUCGCUCUCCAUGCCUAUUUAUGGUGUCCCCGUCGUGAUUUUGCUGGGAUAUUGCCAAAAGAUGCGUAAAUCCAUGCUCUCUCAAUUCAACAUGCCAUGCCUUGACAGACAAAACGAAAUACAAAAUAUAACAUUUAUACUUACAAUUUUGCAAUGCAGUGUGCUUCAUCAAUGAAAAUUGCCAUCAAAAUCUUCUCUUUAGUCAGGCUGUGUUCCAAGAACUGUCUCUGGACUUGCAAAUAUUAUUAUGUCAGUGUCAGGGUGAAAAAACCGUCACAGUAGCAUGGUUGGAGUUAUUAAGUUUCUUAAACACGAAUGGUGCUAAUUCAAAAGUAAGUGAUUUUCCUGAUCCUGUUGGAGAAAAAAAAGGACAUCCUUGUCUUUGAUGAUUCCUGAAGUGAUCAAUUAUGUAACUGCAUUACCUUCCAUACCAACAGUUAUACAUGUAGUUAAGUUAAAUAGAGGGCGUAUAUACUUAAAACACAACAUCAAUCCUUUGUUCCGUUCAGCAGUGUGUCAGAUUCGUGAUGGCUAGCUUGAGGUGGCUAGACUUGCUUUUUGUAUGCAUUACUAGAUUAUUUUUUUAAAUGAAAUAAAUAUAUUCCACGGUCAUUGGUGCAGGACUAAUUGUGUAUAUCACCUGAAUUUUGGUCAAUACCUGAAAUACUCAGUCGCCAAUACAGCCCCUAUUUCAUAUAAGGUUAUGAAAAUACAUGUCGGUUGGAGCCUGAAGCCUGAAGUAGAAUUUAGGUUAUUACACGGAUGAUAUACAUGUAAGGCCGAAAAUUGAUGAACUUCUUUAUUAUGAAGAACACAAUGUUUGGGACUAAUAUCAUUAGUUGAAGGAGUAAGUAUUACACCCAAACGUUCUGUUCCACACAAUGCGUUUCACUUCUGAAUGUUUUUCUAAGAGUUGAUACAUACACUUGCCUUGUAUAUAUGGUUGAUGCACGUCGAGUGUCUCAGAAACGCGGGAUCUGCAGGUAUUAGAGCUGAAUACAGUUGUGAUUUGACGAAUUCUUUUUCUUCUGACUCUUCCUCUUAUUUCGUUUUUCAGCUUAGCAUUGUGUAUACACAACGUAAUUAACGGAUUCUGACAUCAGCCACAUAUCUCGGACCACCCCACGAGUCUCUCUUAACCGUUCAAUUAACGUUCCGCUUGGUGUUGCCACACCUGUCCGCCAUCUGCUGUUGAGAUACUGUAACGGUUCUCGUCUGAAAAGAGGACUUCUCCCACUGCUGGUGCUGUGCUACCCACUGAAGACGGUCCAGGAAACAAAGAAGAAGACUGAAAGGAUACCACUGGGAGUGCUUCAGUGAGGACCUCAGUGACCGUUCUCCAUCACAGUAGGUGCUCAGCGGAGGGGACUACCUCACCCUUGAGAGGCAGAAACAAGCCAAUCAUGCACUUACGAGAUGGACCUACACCAAGUUCCAGAUUACAAGGACUUGUUCCAAAGAUGGAAGAGUUCCAUAACGAAGCUGAAUUUCUAAAGGUUAUAUGGAAACACUUGUACUCGUCCUCCUCUAACAAGUCUGUUUGGCACUCUGCAUGCUGCAAAGGAGCACAAUAAAUGCGGUGAAUGUUACUCAGGAUCCUCAUGACAACUUUUACCCAUGCUCUGAAUUCAUGGACAAGGUCACCACCGCCUACAUCGUAACUGGGGGACUACAUUACUUCCAAAUGGAACACCUCACUUCUGUCCCAACGUCAAGUUACAUGGGUGCUGUUGGCAAUCCAUAUAAAAUGAUUGAUUAUUUUCUAGGUCAUGCAGCAAAACAGUUUGUAGACAAGCACGUCUUACCGGAGGUUCCUCAACAGCCAGGUCAUGGUCUCCAAAUCAAACACACUAGCCUGCAGGUACUGUGGAAAACUGUACCAGAGACCAAAAGCUCUCCGCAAACACGAAGCAUCCGGAAUAUAAUGCUGAAAACAAUCAGGAUUCCACAUCUUCAGCAGAAUCAAGAUCAUCUAUUUAUCAGUACACCCGUCUGUCUCUCAUGCUUGGGCUUCUUCGAAUAAAUCACAACGAUUCCAUUCACAUGGGAGAUGGUGGCAGGCAUGAUGAGACUAGUAAAGUGGUUCUGUUUAUAAGGCAAGCAAAUGUCUCCUUUGAAACACAGGCAAAGGCAUAUGCUCUCCUAUAUGAACGGCAGGCUUUAUAGAUUGAUAUGGAACCGCACAGUCAACCAUCAAGGCAGAGAAGACACCAAUCAUCCCAUCGACCUUGACUUGGAGCAUUGCAACAGGGCUUUCAAAGAUGAAGUACACACAUACAAGGGGAGGUACACAGAUAAAAGACGAUUCUCAAAGUCAGCAGAAGUGCGCUGUCAAUGGAAGAAUUAUGCCAAAAAUACGACAAAUUGGCAUUCCGCAAGAAAUGUUCGGGAAGGCAUGGAGUUGUUGAUCCUUCUUGGUGAUAUUCUUAAACUUGUAGAACAAUUCCAUUCCUAUGCAGCUCUAUUCAAUGAGGCCAACAAGCCACUGCCACAGAGAAUUCAAGAACAUGCUGAGUGACAUCCAAAAUUGGAUUUCAGAAAGUCUUAAAGUCUUCAGUAGCCGCACAUACUAUAACAUCUGAACCUUUUUUCCCGAUGUGUAAUUCAGUGUCACAUGAUUAAAACGAGACCCUGUUGCAAAGUCGCUAUCACUGUAUGUUUCAUGAUCUUCAUGUUCUGAGUCUGAGUGAGAUGAUGAGCUAUCACUCGAGUCAAGGGAAGUUUUGUACAACUCAAGAAUAUCACAUCUACAUUCACUACAUGGGGUAUUGCAUGUCCAUGAGUCUCUGCAGUCACAGAGACACUUGCAAGAUAUGGCACAGUUGUCCAUAGCACUCAUGACUUCAGUAAGCUCAACUCGUCGACAUACGUUGGUUCUGACAUACUGUUUCAUUUCAUCCGAAAUAUUCCGCCUGCCACUGAGACAUUGUCUAAAUUUCAUGAGAAGAGCAUGUGCCUGCUUUUCUGGAUCCCUGCCUGCUCCGUCCUUGUCUCUUGAAUAUAAUCCUCAACAUUAUUGGCUGGACCAUAGUGGAUGACGGUUUCCACACUUUCUUAGCAUUGUGUAUACACAACGUAAUUAACGGAUUCUGACAUCAGCCACAUAUCUCGGACCACCCCACGAGUCUCUCUUAACCGUUCAAUUAACGUUCCGCUUGGUGUUGCCACACCUGUCCGCCAUCUGCUGUUGAGAUACUGUAACGGUUCUCGUCUGAAAAGAGGACUUCUCCCACUGCUGGUGCUGUGCUACCCACUGAAGACGGUCCAGGAAACAAAGAAGAAGACUGAAAGGAUACCACUGGGAGUGCUUCAGUGAGGACCUCAGUGACCGUUCUCCAUCACAGUAGGUGCUCAGCGGAGGGGACUACCUCACCCUUGAGAGGCAGAAACAAGCCAAUCAUGCACUUACGAGAUGGACCUACACCAAGUUCCAGAUUACAAGGACUUGUUCCAAAGAUGGAAGAGUUCCAUAACGAAGCUGAAUUUCUAAAGGUUAUAUGGAAACACUUGUACUCGUCCUCCUCUAACAAGUCUGUUUGGCACUCUGCAUGCUGCAAAGGAGCACAAUAAAUGCGGUGAAUGUUACUCAGGAUCCUCAUGACAACUUUUACCCAUGCUCUGAAUUCAUGGACAAGGUCACCACCGCCUACAUCGUAACUGGGGGACUACAUUACUUCCAAAUGGAACACCUCACUUCUGUCCCAACGUCAAGUUACAUGGGUGCUGUUGGCAAUCCAUAUAAAAUGAUUGAUUAUUUUCUAGGUCAUGCAGCAAAACAGUUUGUAGACAAGCACGUCUUACCGGAGGUUCCUCAACAGCCAGGUCAUGGUCUCCAAAUCAAACACACUAGCCUGCAGGUACUGUGGAAAACUGUACCAGAGACCAAAAGCUCUCCGCAAACACGAAGCAUCCGGAAUAUAAUGCUGAAAACAAUCAGGAUUCCACAUCUUCAGCAGAAUCAAGAUCAUCUAUUUAUCAGUACACCCGUCUGUCUCUCAUGCUUGGGCUUCUUCGAAUAAAUCACAACGAUUCCAUUCACAUGGGAGAUGGUGGCAGGCAUGAUGAGACUAGUAAAGUGGUUCUGUUUAUACUACAAGGCAAGCAAAUGUCCAAAGUAUGCAUAUGGUCUCCUUUGAAACACAGGCAAAGGCAUAUGCUCUCCUAUAUGAACGGCAGGCUUUAUAGAUUGAUAUGGAACCGCACAGUCAACCAUCAAGGCAGAGAAGACACCAAUCAUCCCAUCGACCUUGACUUGGAGCAUUGCAACAGGGCUUUCAAAGAUGAUGUACACACAUACAAGGGGAGGUACACAGAUAAAAGACGAUUCUCAAAGUCAGCAGAAGUGCGCUGUCAAUGGAAGAAUUAUGCCAAAAAUACGACAAAUUGGCAUUCCGCAAGAAAAGUUCGGGAAGGCAUGGAGUUGUUGAUCCUUCUUGGUGAUAUUCUUAAACUUGUAGAACAAUUCCAUUCCUAUGCAGCUCUAUUCAAUGAGGCCAACAAGCCACUGCCACAGAGAAAAUCAAAAACAUGCUGAGUGACAUCCAAAAUUGGAUUUCAGAAAGUCUUAAAGUCUUCAGUAGCCGCACAUACUAUAACAUCUGAACCUUUUUUCCCGAUGUGUAAUUCAGUGUCACAUGAUUAAAACGAGACCCUGUUGCAAAGUCGCUAUCACUGUAUGUUUCAUGAUCUUCAUGUUCUGAGUCUGAGUGAGAUGAUGAGCUAUCACUCGAGUCAAGGGAAGUUUUGUACAACUCAAGAAUAUCACAUCUACAUUCACUACAUGGGGUAAUUGCAUGUCCAUGAGUCUCUGCAGUCACAGAGACACUUGCAAGAUAUGGCACAGUUGUCCAUAGCACUCAUGAUUUCAGUAAAGCUCAACUCGUCGACAUACGUUGGUUCUGACAUACUGUUUCAUUUCAUCCGAAAUAUUCCGCCUGCCACUGAGACAUUGUCUAAAUUUCAUGAGAAGAGCAUGUGCCUGCUUUUCUGGAUCCCUGCCUGCUCCGUCCUUGUCUCUUGAAUAUAAUCCUCAACAUUAUUGGCUGGACCAUAGUGGAUGACGGUUUCCACACUUUGUAAGUCCCAAGCUGAAUGGUGUUGAGCAAUGGACUAUCAAGGGACUAUCAUCCUCUUGAAACCAUUUGGAUCCAUGAAGGACUCUGACACACUUCCCUGUUUUCCUUCUCAUUCAUACAUAUUCUGUAUGUUGUUAUGCAUGAUUGAUGUUGAACUUUAAUUGAAACUUUAGCUUGAAAAUUGGCCGAUUUCUUUUAUGAAAUUUAACUCCUAUUAUAAGAAUAAGAUCAACAUAUGCAAAAACAAUUGUUGUUAGAUGAUUAUUUUUUUGUAACUGAUCAACAAGAUCAACUUUAGUGUUUUAGUGUUUUAACUUAGCUAAUGUAAUGUAAUACAGUGGAUGUAUGCAUUCCUUUUUCAUAAGGGCAUGAACAUAUAUUACAUAAUGCCUCUACCUGGGACUGCGGCCAAACUUACAAAAUUAACCCUUGUUUGAGAGUAACAAGUAUCAAGUUCAUGAUGAUUGUAGAAGUGAUUGUAUGUAUUCAUAAAUGUGACACAUGCACAUUUUGAAAUGUUAAUAUUUGUGCUUUAACUUUGAUUUGAUGAAUAUCAAAUUAGAUAUUGUAUACACUUUAUAGCUACUUGUGAUCAGUGCACAUUUUUAUACCUUUAGAUUGUGCAGUUUCAUAGUGGUUAGUAAGAAUAUUUUGUGAAUUUAUACUUGUUUUAUCACAAAACAUGUGAAUGAGUGAAUGUCGUCUCAUACUGCAGUCAGCAAUAUUGCAGCCAUAUGAAGGCAGCCUGUAAACCAGCAAUUGAUACGCACACCAUCCUAGUACAUAAAACAUUCGCUCUCCAUGCCCAUUUAUGGUGUCCCCGUCGUGAUUUUGCUGGGAUAUUGCCAAAAGAUGCGUAAAUCCCUGCUCUCUCAAGUCAACAUGCCAUGCCUUGACAGACAAAACGAAAUACAAAAUAUAACAUUUAUACUUACAAUUUUGCAAUGCAGUGUGCUUCAUCAAUGAAAAUUGCCAUCAAAAUCUUCUCUUUAGUCAGGCUGUGUUCCAAGAACUGUCUCUGGACUUGCAAAUAUUAUUAUGUCAGUGUCAGGGUGAAAAAACCAUCACAGUAGCAUGGUUGGAGUUAUUAAGUUUCUUAAACACGAAUGGUGCUAAUUCAAAAGUAAGUGAUUUUCCUGAUCCUGUUGGAGAAAAAAAAGGACAUCCUUUCCUCUGAGGUAACUUACAAUCACUUGUCUUUGAUGAUUCCUGAGGUGAUCAAUUAUGUAACUGCAUUACCUUCCAUACCAACAGUUAUACAUGUAGUUAAGUUAAAUAGAGGGCGUAUAUACUUAAAACACAACAUCAAUCCUUUGUUCCGUUCAGCAGUGUGUCAGAUUCGUGAUGGCUAGCUUGAGGUGGCUAGACUUGCUUUUUGUAUGCAUUACUAGAUUAUUUUUUUAAAUGAAAUAAAUAUGUUCCACGGUCAUUGGUGCAGGACUAAUUGUGUAUAUCACCUGAAUUUUGGUCAAUACCUGAAAUACUCAGUCGCCAAUACAGCCCCUAUUUCAUAUAAGGUUAUGAAAAUACAUGUCGGUUGGAGCCUGAAGCCUGAAGUAGAAUUUAGGUUAUUACACGGAUGAUAUACAUGUAAGGCCGAAAAUUGAUGAACUUCUUUAUUAUGAAGAACACAAUGUUUGGGACUAAUAUCAUUAGUUGAAGGAGUAAGUAUUACACCCAAACGUUCUGUUCCACACAAUGCGUUUCACUUCUGAAUGUUUUUCUAAGAGUUGAUACAUACACUUGCCUUGUAUAUAUGGUUGAUGCACGUCGAGUGUCUCAGAAACGCGGGAUCUGCAGGUAUUAGAGCUGAAUACAGUUGUGAUUUGACGAAUUCUUUUUCUUCUGACUCUUCCUCUUAUUUCGUUUUUCAGCUUAGCAUUGUGUAUACACAACGUAAUUAACGGAUUCUGACAUCAGCCACAUAUCUCGGACCACCCCACGAGUCUCUCUUAACCGUUCAAUUAACGUUCCGCUUGGUGUUGCCACACCUGUCCGCCAUCUGCUGUUGAGAUACUGUAACGGUUCUCGUCUGAAAAGAGGACUUCUCCCACUGCUGGUGCUGUGCUACCCACUGAAGACGGUCCAGGAAACAAAGAAGAAGACUGAAAGGAUACCACUGGGAGUGCUUCAGUGAGGACCUCAGUGACCGUUCUCCAUCACAGUAGGUGCUCAGCGGAGGGGACUACCUCACCCUUGAGAGGCAGAAACAAGCCAAUCAUGCACUUACGAGAUGGACCUACACCAAGUUCCAGAUUACAAGGACUUGUUCCAAAGAUGGAAGAGUUCCAUAACGAAGCUGAAUUUCUAAAGGUUAUAUGGAAACACUUGUACUCGUCCUCCUCUAACAAGUCUGUUUGGCACUCUGCAUGCUGCAAAGGAGCACAAUAAAUGCGGUGAAUGUUACUCAGGAUCCUCAUGACAACUUUUACCCAUGCUCUGAAUUCAUGGACAAGGUCACCACCGCCUACAUCGUAACUGGGGGACUACAUUACUUCCAAAUGGAACACCUCACUUCUGUCCCAACGUCAAGUUACAUGGGUGCUGUUGGCAAUCCAUAUAAAAUGAUUGAUUAUUUUCUAGGUCAUGCAGCAAAACAGUUUGUAGACAAGCACGUCUUACCGGAGGUUCCUCAACAGCCAGGUCAUGGUCUCCAAAUCAAACACACUAGCCUGCAGGUACUGUGGAAAACUGUACCAGAGACCAAAAGCUCUCCGCAAACACGAAGCAUCCGGAAUAUAAUGCUGAAAACAAUCAGGAUUCCACAUCUUCAGCAGAAUCAAGAUCAUCUAUUUAUCAGUACACCCGUCUGUCGCUCAUGCUUGGGCUUCUUCGAAUAAAUCACAACGAUUCCAUUCACAUGGGAGAUGGUGGCAGGCAUGAUGAGACUAGUAAAGUGGUUCUGUUUAUAAGGCAAGCAAAUGUCUCCUUUGAAACACAGGCAAAGGCAUAUGCUCUCCUAUAUGAACGGCAGGCUUUAUAGAUUGAUAUGGAACCGCACAGUCAACCAUCAAGGCAGAGAAGACACCAAUCAUCCCAUCGACCUUGACUUGGAGCAUUGCAACAGGGCUUUCAAAGAUGAUGUACACACAUACAAGGGGAGGUACACAGAUAAAAGACGAUUCUCAAAGUCAGCAGAAGUGCGCUGUCAAUGGAAGAAUUAUGCCAAAAAUACGACAAAUUGGCAUUCCGCAAGAAAAGUUCGGGAAGGCAUGGAGUUGUUGAUCCUUCUUGGUGAUAUUCUUAAACUUGUAGAACAAUUCCAUUCCUAUGCAGCUCUAUUCAAUGAGGCCAACAAGCCACUGCCACAGAGAAUUCAAGAACAUGCUGAGUGACAUCCAAAAUUGGAUUUCAGAAAGUCUUAAAGUCUUCAGUAGCCGCACAUACUAUAACAUCUGAACCUUUUUUCCCGAUGUGUAAUUCAGUGUCACAUGAUUAAAACGAGACCCUGUUGCAAAGUCGCUAUCACUGUAUGUUUCAUGAUCUUCAUGUUCUGAGUCUGAGUGAGAUGAUGAGCUAUCACUCGAGUCAAGGGAAGUUUUGUACAACUCAAGAAUAUCACAUCUACAUUCAUUACAUGGGGUAUUGCAUGUCCAUGAGUCUCUGCAGUCACAGAGACACUUGCAAGAUAUGGCACAGUUGUCCAUAGCACUCAUGACUUCAGUAAGCUCAACUCGUCGACAUACGUUGGUUCUGACAUACUGUUUCAUUUCAUCCGGAAUA